rnacentral:rRNA from 1 species
UACGGAGGGUGCAAGCGUUGUCCGGAUUUAUUGGGUUUAAAGGGUGCGUAGGUGGCUCAUUAAGUCAGUGUUUAAAGUCAACAGCUCAACUGUUGGAAUGGCAUUGAUACUGAUGAGCUUGAGUAAAGUUGAGGUAGACAGAAUUGAUGGUGUAGCGGUGAAAUGCAUAGAGAUCCGGAGGAACACCAGCGGCGAAGGCGGCGUCCUGGACUGGUACUGACGCUCAGGAGCGAAAGCGUGGGGAGCGAUCCGG